CCUACGGGUGGCAGCAGUGGGGAAUAUUGCGCAAUGGGCGAAAGCCUGACGCAGCGACGCCGCGUGAGGGAUGAAGGUCUUCGGAUCGUAAACCUCUGUCAGCAGGGAAGAACGGUCACUGUGCUAAUCAGCAGUGAAUUGACGGUACCUGAAGAAGAAGCCCCGGCUAACUACGUGCCAGCAGCCGCGGGAAUACGUAGGGGGCAAGCGUUAUCCGGAUUUACUGGGUGUAAAGGGGGCGCAGACGGCGAUGCAAGCCAGGAGUGAAAGCCCGGGGCCCAACCCCGGGACUGAUCUUGGAACUGCGUGGCUGGAGUGCAGGAGGGGCAGGCGGAAUUCCUGGUGUAGCGGUGAAAUGCGUAGAUAUCAGGAGGAACACCGGUGGCGAAGGCGGCCUGCUGGACUGCAACUGACGUUGAGGCCCGAAAGCGUGGGGAGCAAACAGGAUUAGAUACCCCUGUAGUC
rnacentral:rRNA from 1 species